CGUUAAACUCCUUUCGACCGAGAUGAACACCUGCGGGAUAAUACUCCCGCAGGCUGACAGUAUCGAGGGAAGCAGCCCCGGCUAACUCCGUGC
rnacentral:rRNA from 1 species